UGCAGUCAGAUGUCGGGAAAAGUACCUUAUUUUGGUGUUAACCGGUUCGAAGGACCGCCUGAUAUCUGAGUAACAAGACGUUUAAGCAAACGCAUCUUUUAAAACGAUCGUAAUGCGCUCUGGCUAGCUACUCUGUUAAUUGCAAAGCGUUUAUAUUCGUUUGUAGGCAUUCUGCUUCGGCGGUGUGUUGAACAGAGAUAAGAAUUGGCACAUAAAUGUCGCAUUCACUAGCGCAGAUAGCGUUCAGCGCCCCACCCCAGCAUGGGUACGUUCUGACACCUAACGGGCGAUUCCUGGAGAGGGCGGAGGGUCGAACUGUGUCCUACAGGUGCCCUGCUGCGGCAUGUAGACACAUCCAGGCGCAUUUUCAUCCGUGAUCAUCAACGAGCAGGCACGUGCUGGCGUGUUAUCCAAGGUAAACAUCCGAGUAAAUCAUUGCGCUCAGUGGCUAAUUGACUCAUAACACCACUGCGGGCAUAUUAUUCAGAAUAAACAUAUAGCUACCUGGCUAGUGUAAACGUGUCAUUGACGUUACCUGGCAACGUAUUUUAUCUAUAUAUACCCUAUGGGAUGUAUAGUAAAUGUGGUAACCUAACGAUUUACAGAUCCUUUAAUGCUCAUAAUAUAAAUAUUAAAUACGUAGAGAAUAAAUGCAUAAAGUUCAACCCAUGUCGCAGUAUUAAUAUUAAUAAUACAAAUUAUUAGUAGGGUCUUGAUUAUCAUUAGGCAGCACAGCACUAACACUCGUUUUAAACAUUUACAGUUUUACACGUAGUCUCUUCUUGCAGCCACUUUCAAUUAUGCAUUGAAAACGUUAUUAUAUCUUUCUCUCUCCCCUGCUGAAAGAAACACGGCUCAAGCUAUGUUUUGAAACAGCUGGUAGAUGGUUGACCAGCUCAGACCCGCUGCCCACUCUGCAAGGAGUCGGAGACUGAGCGCGUCUGAUUAAAAGCUAUGUCUGAUGAGUCAUCCUCGUCCUCACCCGCAUCGCCAGCGCCGCCCUCCUCUCAUUUCAUAGCGAAGAAGGAUGAGAUUAUCCGGGCAGGCCGCGUGACGAAGCUCGUGAACGGCAGGGAGGUGCUGGUCCUCCACCACGACGGCGUGUUCCACGCCUUGGACAUGCGCUGUUACCAUUCUGGUGGCCUUUUACAAUAUGGAGACAUAGAGGAGUUUAACGGCCGGCUGUGCAUCGUCUGCCCCUGGCACAAGUACAAGAUCACGCUGGCUGAAGGGGAGAACCUGUACCAGGCUGUGGACCCCAAGGAGAAGCCGCCCAAACCGAAAUGGCUCUCCAAAGGCGUGAAGCAGAGGGUGCACCGGGCCAUCGAGGUGGAGGAGGACGUCUUCGUCCGCUUGAACGACGCCCCCGGCCGCAUCGAGUCCGACGCCUACCAGACGCAACACCGAGCAGGGAAAUCGCAGGAGAAGACCACGCCGAAGAAGUGAGCGAAAUAGUCACAGGCAAAAUGGCCGUUCAGCCAGCCUCCGAGAUAAACAUUAAAUCUGAGCUCUUAUCUUCGACCGGCGGUCCUCACUCCUGGACCAGGGGUGAGCGCCACUGCCUUAGACUGAAAAAAGUCACCGUGAAAAAUACGGAGUUCAUUUCAGGGAUUGCUUUCUGGCUACCUCGAUUUGGGCAAGCUUGUUAAGCCGAUGAACACUCAAUACACUUGAUCCUGAUUGGCUCAAACCGGCAGCAUGUUGAAAUCCAUGGGCCAGUUUCACAGACACAGAUUAAGGUUAGUCUUGGACUAAAUUGUGUUUUGUAUGGAGAAUCUCCAUUUAAAAUGUAACUUAAGUCUCGGACUAAACUUAACCUGUGUCUCUGAAACAGGCCCGAUGAGUUCGCUGCUUGAGUGGUGAGGCCCAUUAAUAUUACAGCCAUUAAAAUGUUACCAGUUAGCAUUGUUGUUAGCUUAUCAACCACUUCCUCAGUUAUUGAAAGGUCAUUUAAAAAUACAUCAGGAUUCUCUCUCUUGUUCUCAGGGACGUUUCCCCUGUGUAUACAGGAAGAAAUAUAAUUUUGUUGAGACCACCAGAUUGUAUUUUUCAUUUUCUAAUGGUAAAUAUUUCUAUUGGCUUUGUAUUUAUAUUUUGAAUAUGCCAUUGUUCAUCUUUAUUUUUUCCAUUUUGAAAGUAAAAAAACUGCAAAAAUCAGAA